GUUAGCGGCGAACGGGUGAGGAAUGCAUGGAUAACGUACCCCGGACACAGGAAUAGCGGCGUCUCCCGAGCAAUCGGGAGACUUUGCGAAAGUGCCGGUAAUACCUGAUGAUCCCGCAACACCGCAUGGUGAAGCGGGCAAAGCUCAGGCGGUCUGGGAUCGGUCCAUGUCCUAUCAGUUAGUUGGUGAGGCGACGGCUCACCAAGGCUUCGACGGGUAUCGGGCGUGAGAGCGUGGUCCGACACAUCGGAACUGAGACACGGUCCGGACACCUACGGGUGGCUGCAGCAACGAAUAUUCCGCAAUGGACGAAAGUCUGACGGAGCGACGCCGCGUGCAGGAAGAAGUCCUUCGGGAUGUAAACUGCUGUCAGGGGUUAGGAAUAAAUGACCAGCCCCACAGGAAGCACUGGCUAACUCCGUGCCAGCAGCCGCGGUAAUACGGAGAGUGCAAGCGUUGUUCGGAAUCAUUGGGCUUAAAGAGCGUGUAGGCGGGGUGCCAGGUGCCGUGUGAAAGCCCCGGGCUCAACCCGGGAAUUGCAUGGCAAACCGGCACUCUUGAGGCAGGUAGAGGUGACUGGAACGACUGGUGGAGCGGUGAAAUGCGUAGAUAUCAGUUGGAACGCCUGAGGCGAAAGCGGGUCACUGGACCUGUCCUGACGCUGAGACGCGAAAGCGUGGGUAGCGAACAGGAUUAGAUACCCUGGUAGUCCACGCCGUAAACGAUGCGCACUAGGCAUGAGAGGUUCUGACGCUGCUCGUG
rnacentral:rRNA from 1 species